GAAGCCGCACGGCCAGUCCAUACUUACCUGGCAGGGGAGAUACCAUGAUCACGAAGGUGGUUUUCCCAGGGCGAGGCUUAUCCAUUGCACUCCGGAUGUGCUGACCCCUGCGAUUUCCCCAAAUGUGGGAAACUCGACUGCAUAAUUUGUGGUAGUGGGGGACUGCGUUCGCGCUUUCCCCUGCCUUACUGGAAGUUGAAAGGUAGCUGUUAUUAUGAUCGGCGCUGGGUCUGGAUGUGUGGUGUUCAAAACACGGGCUGCUGGGCAGUUCGCUUUCGUUUUCACGUUUUUGUGGGGGUAGGGCGAUUGCUGCUUUUUUCUCACCCCGCGGGGGAUCCUUUAGUAACGCGCCAAUUAUACUGUGGGUUUAUGUUCUCCAGGGUAUUGUCGUGAAAACGUCACGAUCUCGUGCUUUCUCCAGGCCAAAGCCGCGUUUUUCCUGCAAGUUUGGGGUGUGUAGAGGAAAAAGCCAGAACUGCUUUCUCUUCCCUGGGGAAAAUAUCCCAGGGUCUUGGUAACCGCUGGCAGAAACGACAGAAUACGUACGGGGCGGGCAAUUAAUCCUGGUCCAGGGAAGUAUCCGGCUUAGAGGUUUAGGAAGGACCUGUCGGGGUUGAGUUCCCCACCCAGGGGGAGAUCGAGUCCGCGGGAGCUGCUGAUCCCACCCAGGCAGCUGCUGGGCUUGUUGGCAGCAGCGUCUUCUGGAAGGACUAGAACGGAGUCAUCCCACUCCCAGAGAAGCAGGCGUGUCAUGCAUGACAGUGAAGGCCGGACUACAAGGCCCUCAAGAACAGGAGACUUUGGGUCCUCGCUAACGGCCUUGGGAGACCACGCAAGACUGGUCAGAAAAGCCAGGUAGAAAGGCUUUUCAUGGGCCGCGCGCGGUGGCUCACGCCUGUAAUCCCAGCACUUUGAGAGGGCGAGGCGAGCGGAUCACUUGAGGUCAGGAAGUUCGAGACCAACCUGGGCAACAUGGUGAAACCCCCGUCUCUACUAAAAAUACAAAAAUUAGCCAGGCGGCGUGGCGCGUGCCUGUAAUUCCACCUGCUCCAGAGGCUGAGCCAUGAGAAUUGCUUGAACCCGGGAGGCGGAGGUUGCGGUGAGCCGAGAUCGCGCCAUUGCACUCCAGCCUGGGCAACAGAGCAAGACUCCGUCUCAAAAAUAAAUAAAUAAAUAAAUUAAUUAAUUAAAGAGUGCAGACUCUUAGGCCCCACCUUUGCUGUAUCUGCUGAGUCCGAAUGUGCAUUCUGUCCACAGUGAAGUUUAAGAAGCACUGAUCGAACGUGCUGUAUGUUUUAGUUUUCUAUCUAACGUCACCCACUUGGAAUGUAAGCUCCAGGUCAGCGAUUCUUGCCUAUUUUGUUGACUGCUUCCAUCCACAGGUGACUAGAAAGCUGCCUGGCUUUCAAUAUAUUUGUUGGAUUAAUCUAUUGACAUCAGGUGCCCAGGUUCUAGCUCUGAGCCCAGGGGAGAUUAAUACUGUGUCUUUCCUACAGAGAAAUCACAGAGUUGCAAAUCCUCCCUGCUCAGCUUCAUCAGCACUUAAUACCAUUUGCUCGAGCUCCUGGGUGAGAGCUACAAAACUAGUCCCUGAGCCCAGUGGGAGGAUCCACUAGUCCACACCCUCGACCUCUGUCAGCCUCUUCAGCCCCUUCUCGCUUGAGGAGAAUGUGAUCGUUGUUACAGGCAUCAGAAAAAGGCAAGUUGGGGAAGGCAUACAAGUACCAACUAGGUGUCUCUUUCUCCAAGGAGCUCCACAAAAUAUUCCAUCCAGAGUGCAGAUGAUGUGACUACCUUGCACAACGGCAUGUGGCAGAAGUGAUGUCCAGGGUCUCCCGAGGCUGGGUCGGAGGCAUCCUUACAGCUCCCAUCUGGGUCUACCGGAAUCGUCUUGGAGGUUUGCGCCGCCAUGGAAGAAGGCUGACUACGCAGGCUGCCGUGUCGUGAGGAAGCCCGAGGCUUUGUGGAGAGAAAUGCAUGGAAACGGUUUCAGUCCCCAGCCGAGACCCUAGGCAUCAGGGAGCAGAACAUCAAAACUGCGGACUUGGGAUACAAAUGAAUGAUCACUGUUGUUGCAAAGCCCUUACGUUUUGAGGGUGGUCUUUUCGUGAAGCAAUAGAGAAACGGAACGGGGAGACGGACAGUGAGCAGACAAGCAAUAAUACGAAGCAGAAGGGGGAAAAACGUGGACCAAGGGAUAGAGAAGAGGGCAUGGAGAGAAAAGGCUGGGGUUGAGGGCUUAACAUAUUAGACAAGGGGGUCACGGAAAGCCUCCCUGCUUCUCUCUGUUUGCUCCAAACUCUUGCUUCUCUUUGCUUGCUCAGCAUCAGCGCAUAGCGCAUAGAACCCCCAAAGGCCACCCCACAAUGGCAGCCUCAGCCCCAGAAUUUACGUGUCCUGUUACAAGUCCUAGGGCCACAACAAACUCUCUGGACUCAUUUGAUUUUCUUCUAAUGUUUUAUACACACACACACACACACACACACACACAC